rfam:Aedes aegypti strain Liverpool supercont1.105 genomic scaffold, whole genome shotgun sequence.
UGUACUGUAGCUUAGUUGGUUAAAGCGUUGGUCUAUCGUAUACGGAGUUGUGAGUUCGAGUCUCACUGGAACGC